UCCACGCCGUAAACGUUGGAUACUAGCUGUUGGGGCGUAAGCUUCAGUGGCUAAGCGAAAGUGAUAAGUAUCCCACCUGGGGAGUACGAACGCAAGUUUGAAACUCAAAGGAAUUGACGGGGGCCCGCACAAGCGGUGGAGCAUGUGGUUUAAUUCGAUGAUACGCGAGGAACCUUACCAGGGCUUAAAUGUAGAGUGACAGGGGUGGAAACAUCUUUUUCUCGGACACUUUACAAGGUGCUGCAUGGUUGUCGUCAGCUCGUGCCGUGAGGUGUCAGGUUAAGUCCUAUAACGAGCGCAACCCCUGCCGUUAGUUGCCAGC
rnacentral:rRNA from 1 species